GUCUUUUCCUUUCCCAUGUGCAAGCCUUUUUCAGUCCGCAUUUGGUCAAUAGGGAAACUGAGUACCCGUGCCUUGUUACAGGUGUUAAAUGUAUUCGCACCUUGAGCAUUGGCAUCUGCAUCCGCUUAAGUGAAAGGAAUCCAAAAA
ensembl:ncRNA R08B4.15 ncRNA